GUUUUUUAGGCAUGGAAAAAGAACCCCGGAAAAGUACGAAGUCUGUAUUGACGAUAUCAAUGCAGCUCAGUGGGAAAAAACUGGAUAUGGAAAACUAACGCCUGUAGAUAGGAAUAGAAGAGUCUCACAAACUUGGUUCUAUAUUAAGGAGUCGCUACCAAGGUUUCUUACCAGAUUCAUUUACACCUGAGGUUAUACAAACGCUAUCGACAAACCGAGAAAGGACCAAGCUUACCACGGUAGCAGUUCUGUCGGGAUUGUUUCCGUCAUCAUCUCUAUCCGAACAGUUAACGGACCUACUGAAUCGGAGUGACCUGUACGAAUACAUGGAACAAAAACAGGAUUUUAAACUCAGGAAUCCCAAAUUUUAUUGUUCGGCUAUUAAAAAUGAAUUAAAACGAAUAAGCAACCGGGGGAACUUUUUCUGGAACAGAGUGUGGUGCAGUUUGUGAAUUGGCGCAAUUGGAAAAGCUGAUGCAGCCGUACAUGCCAAUGAAUUACACGAAAGAAUGUGAAUCUAAUGUCUCCCUAGACUAGCGAUAAAUAAUUAAUGUGUUAGUAUCCCGUCAGGCCCAUGGCCAGAUGGGGCUGAUCCCCACCUAGAACGUGGUCUUUCCCCCACUUGAAAUUAUGGUUGAUGGUUACUUUCAAGUGAUACGCGGCUAUUAAUAUAAGUACUUACGCAAUUUACAACCUGUAAGAGGAUGCAAGAGAUAGAGGACCAGAUAUCGCGGUAUAUCGUCGUUCCUUCCGCAAUCUUUUCCCCACCCGAUCUAAAGUACUGAACCCACUGAAUCAACACUUGAGCAAUAUAUUUACAAGAUCAAACGAACUUACCUUAAGUGAUGUUCGAUCUUGAUUAUAUGAAGGUCUCGUUGUCCAAUGGUACCUAGGAUCAUCGCAAGAAAAUGAGACGCAGAAUCCAAUAGGUUGUUUGAGCAGUCACUAAAACAGCCAAACGAAAUCCCAGAACUAGGGGAAGUGAUGCAGUUUAUGCAGACGAUGUGUCAUUCGCUAGAAGUAAUGGCGUCAAGAAACUGUAAUCAGAUAGAUGAUACCAUCUCUAAGCCCAGUUGGAGGAACGCGUCAUCCAUAUCGUGCUACUAACUGCAUACAGCAGCAUCGCUUUUAAAACUGUCCAAAGUUUAGGGAGCUAUCUAUCAGUGAAAUAAGGGUAGUAAAAGAGAGGAAAUUAUGUUUUAGAUGUUUAAAACACAACUACGAGGAAAAAUGUUACUUAGCGCUAAAGUGUACACAAUUCGGUUAUCCACAUCACACUUUACUACACCGACCCACCAAAACCCUGCACCGUUUAUGCCGCAUACCUAUUUCAUCAGGAUCUGCAAAAACCGAAUUGAACCUAUGCACUACGUUCAUAUGGCGUAAACGUAGUCAAUGCUUGCGGACGUAAUUACUUUUGAACGCCGUUUUUACGCUUCUGUAGCAAUAAGGAACCGUCGUUACGGUAUUAAGGAUCCUCAAAUCCUUUAUAGUUUUGUAUUGUCGUCCGGCCGCCCGUGUGCGUUCUAACUCUUUUCAAAAGUGACCGAUUGUGUUGAAAUUUGGUGUACACUUUGGAGAUUAAGGACAGACGCUAUUGGUUUUCCGGAAGCUGGUUCAACGGCAAAAAAAGUUAUAGGACUUCAAGUGAAUCAGGAAGAGCCAUAGCUGCAGGCUCAAGAUAAUAGAAAUCAGCAGAUUUCAUUGCCAAGGUUAUGUAUCGAGUUCGGACUUUCGCUAGAUUAUUCCCUAUGACCUUUAGAUGUGUAACAAGUUAAUAUAACUCUUCUCUGUGAUACA